rnacentral:sRNA from 1 species
AGCGAACCCACGCAAGUUAUAUUUCAUUUUUUUUAUUUUCAGACAAGAAACACCAUCGUAAUGGCAUUCACAGGCCCAAGUCUCACAGAUAUCCUUCAAUGAGAGGGGUUGAUCCCAAGUUUUUGAAAAAUCUCAAGUUUUCCAGGAAACACAACAAAAAAUCUGUAGCUGCUGGCAAGAAUUAAAAAGCUUAUGAAUGAUAGUGUGUGUGUGUGUGGCCAAGUCAAUAAAUAGUGAUGGGAGAACUUUA